GACGAACCGUGCGAACGUUGUUCGGAAUCACUGGGCUUAAAGGGCGCGUAGGCGGCUUGUCAAGUCAGGGGUGAAAUCUUUCGGCUCAACCGGAAAAGUGCCUUUGAUACUGACAGGCUCGAGGGAAGUAGGGGCAUGUGGAACUUCUGGUGGAGCGGUGAAAUGCGUAGAGAUCCGGAGGAACACCAGUGGCGAAGGCGACACGCUGGGCCGUACCUGACACUGAUGCGCGACAGCAUGGGGAGCAAACAGG
rnacentral:rRNA from 1 species